ACGACAUCGAAAGCUUGCUUUUGAUGGGCGUCGACCGGCGCACGGGUGAGUAACGCGUAUCCAACCUGCCCACCACUUGGGGAUAACCUUGCGAAAGUAAGACUAAUACCCAAUGAUAUCUCUAGAAGACAUCUGAAAGAGAUUAAAGAUUUAUCGGUGAUGGAUGGGGAUGCGUCUGAUUAGCUUGUUGGCGGGGUAACGGCCCACCAAGGCGACGAUCAGUAGGGGUUCUGAGAGGAAGGUCCCCCACAUUGGAACUGAGACACGGUCCAAACUCCUACGGGAGGCAGCAGUGAGAAAUAUUGGUCAAAUGGGCGAGAGCCUGAAACCAGCCAAGUAGCGUGCAGGAUGACGGCCCUAUGGGUUGUAAACUGCUUUUAUAAGGGAAUAAAGUGAGUCUCGUGGGACUUUUUGCAUGUACCUUAUGAAUAAGGACCGGCUAAUUCCGUGCCAGCAGCCGCGGUAAUACGGAAAGGUCCGGGCGUUAUCCGGAUUUAUUGGGUAUAAAGGGAGCGUAGGCCGGAGAUUAAGCGUGUUGUGAAAUGUAGAUGCUCAACAUCUGAACUGCAGCGCGAACUGGUUUCCUUGAGUACGCACAAAGUGGGCGGAAUUCGUGGUGUAGCGGUGAAAUGCUUAGAUAUCACGAAGAACUCCGAUUGCGAAGGCAGCUCACUGGAGCGCAACUGACGCUGAAGCUCGAAAGUGCGGGUAUCGAACAGGAUUAGAUACCCUGGUAGUCCGCACGGUAAACGAUGGAUGCCCGCUGUUGGUCUGAAUAGG
rnacentral:rRNA from 1 species